rnacentral:misc_RNA from 1 species
GAGCGAGCGUUAUCGCGAGAUUGCGCUAAGUUGCCUCGCCACGUGUGGACACACGCAUGCACGCACACGACGCACAAAGUAGGCUUUAGUAUCCAUAUUCGGCCGCAUGCUCAGACCGAGAAGAGAUCGGUGUGUUCUUUCCGUUUCGGAUGCUGCACUGCGCACGUUGCAGACCGUCGUGCAAGCAUCAGAACGCCUCAUAUUCAGCUAGCUUGCUGAUGCCGUCACGAAGACGGAAGUGAAUGAGGUGCAGACGCCGGGGUAACCCCCGAUUCAGACUCCUACAGACACAGAGCCGACCACACCUGUCGUGCCUUCGCCACUGUUAACGACGUACAUACUGACAAUCGCCUCCGCACCUCGCGCGUUCGGCCCACCGUCGCUCUAGUACCGAAGCAACAUCAGCCAGCGCCGACGGCAGAGGACGCCGACUGGCCUCCACUCUUCUCGGGAAGGGUUGUUGCCAAAAAAAAAAAAAAACAGAGGCGCCGGACGCAUUGACGCGCCGAACUUCCUUGCUCUCCUGCAGUAGAAACCACGGACGGGACCGUCAGCACCCGGUCCGGCGAUGCUUCUGCUGCGCAUCAAGACAGCGCCAUGUCGCAAUCGCUGCCGUCGCUGCCUGUCGCUGUGGCCGCAAGGGCCGACUCCCGCGCGUUUAUCGACACUACUACCGGAUGGGGUGAGUUCACAUGGACGCCUUCGGAGACACGUACGAGGGUAGCGAAGCUGUGCUGUUUUGGCGGAGUCACGCACUCCUACGGCCCCGAGCGGGCCGAGGUUCUCCGGUAGUCCGGCGGCAGAGCGGGCUCCCGCAUCUCUGGCUGCUGCUGCUGCCAUGCCACUGGGCUUGCCAAGCGAGUCGGAAACCUCCUUAUGUUGCCUCACUGCCAGGGCAGGCCCGCAGUGCGAGGACGCAUGCGCACGCUCCUCCACCAGUGCCUCUUGAACGCAGCAAAGUGGCGCCGAGCAUGGGAAGGCCGAACGCCUGUGCAUAGGCGGUGCCCACUACAUCCCAUUUUCCACAAGCCCCCCGCCCCUACACGCACAGAACGUUUUACGGCAGCUCUCCCCAUUCCUGAAGCACCUUUGUUGGAAGAGUACAGCGAGGAAGCGCUCAUGCAGCGUCAGGGACACGAGGCGCGGCACAGCCAGCGUGCUCUGCUGCGGGAUGCGUCCAAUGCACGAGCGCGCCAGCGGGAGCACUUGAUGUUCAUCCAUUAACUUCAAGGUUCCAUUCAUGCCGAUGCACAGAAGAAGUCGACAAAGGCUGGCGUCCUCUUUCGUGAGGUGCCAGCGGCUACACAACUUGAGGAAAACAUGACAAACGGCUCUGUGAGCCCGCUGACACGCAAAGACGGAUCUCGAGAAUCGCCUGCGUGAGUUCACGGGAGAGGUGAAGGCCAACUAGGAGCUCCGUUGAGAUGCGCGACAACGCCUCGGCAUGUGCAGGGACUGCAUCGCACCACCCACAGCUGCCGAAGCCACGGCCGUCACAAAAUCUGAAGAUGGCGCACCAGGGCCCCAGCGCACUGAAGAGUUUACAGCAAGAAAUGGUCCUGUCCCAGGUGUGCGUGGUGCUCCUUGGCGGGCGCGUGCGCACCCUUCAAUGUCCCUAGCAGCACAUCCGUAAGGAGCUCGUUAACACCGAGGCAGAGGAUGUGAUGGUAUGCGGCGACCGUCAAGCAGCUGUACAGGGCGGCGACGGCGGCUUUCCGAGACGACGCGGAUUGCGUGUUGGAGAACGUGCAGCGGCCAAGGGAGAGCCAGCGAACAGACGAGCUUGCGGAUGCUGUGCACGGCUUAUGGGACGCAUUGCAGAAGGAUCGGGAUCGCGCUCGUCGGCUGGACGAUGCCGUGCCCGCGACGCAGGCACCCCAAACAGGCUCACUGGCGGCCUCGGCUAGCAACAGGGCCCUUGAAAGCGUGCUGCGGCCGUCCGAUCACCUAGGCCGCUGCGUUGCCUGCAGUGCCUCCAGAUGAGCCCGCCGCAUCAGAGGUGGAAGAUCACUUGAAGGACCUCCACGAGCAAAUCGAAGACGCUAUCGCGGAGAAGGGGUUUGAGGCACGCGAGUUUAUUCAGAACGAGAUCAGCGCAGCUGUGUUUUAGCUGACCCGCUCUACGCAAGGCUCAGGUGUGUAGAUGCGGCAGCGGUGGCGGACUGUGGUGCUGGGCGCCGCCGCAUCGGUUCACGGUGGGACUGGAGGACAACUAUGAUGGAGGCUGGCCAAAACGUACUGUGCGGUGUAGCGGGCAUUGCCUGUGCGUUUUGGCUACCUCUUGUUUGCGUGCGCGUGUGCUGGGGGUGCCCGUGGCCCCUGCCUUGUUCACUACGCCCACAACGAUACGUGCAAGGUCGAGAUGCACUACAGACACUUUUUCUCUCGGGUACACGAACAGCGAGCACCGUGAUGUAGCGAACUCAUCCUCUCUUCUCUGCGCAGCAGGUCAAAGGCGAAUUGGAGUGGGGAGGCCAGCGGGGUGUGCCGCCCCGCAGCACCUUCGCUUGAUGAGCGGGCGGCGGUGCGAAGGCGCUGAGGGGCGUCUCGCUUAACUCUUGAGGAUGAGGGCUUGCUUGGGCGUCUGUACUUCUCUUUCUUGCGGCUACGCCGAUGCGACAUCUGAGUGUGCGGUGCAGAACGAUGCUGUGUUGAAGGGAGAAAGACAGCUGCUGCGGCGGUGGAUCACCCGCAUGUACCCCUCACGGGUUCUUUUCCCUUUGUCCUCUCUCUGUGUGAUGCCCGCGCCACCUUGCGUGGCUCCGGUGCCUCUCGCGCUAUUUCCUUGUGUAUGCUCGGCGGCGCAUGCGUCGCCACGACUGCGUGUCGCUCUUUAGCUCUCCGUCUGGCUAUGGCGACGCAUGCGCGCGUCAUUGUCGCCAUUCGCCUCCCUUUCCAACACACGGCAACGACUCGCGAGGAGGGGCGGAUGGGGCGGAGCACACAGAACUCCACAAACGCGUAUACACACCAACAUUACUCCUAACGUACAGAACUACGUACGCGACGUCUGCUCACAUGACGCUUCCCUACGGAUGUUCGACACACGCAUACGCAC